CCAAGAUCUUCUUUGUAAGCUUCAGUUGAAUGAAAGCUGCGGCCAACAGAAACCAUAUGCCUCGCUGGGUUCUCCUUCAUUACAACAUCCAUCCCUUGCAAUAUGUCACGAGGGAUUGAAAACAGUUUCCCAGUUAAGUAAUCCUUCAACUUGCAAAGCUUAAGUUCAUUCACAAGCUUUAUAUUAAAUGUGUAAGCACGAUCCUUCAUGUCUUCCCCCUCAGAGAACUCCACCUUAAUCUUUCCGGUGGGCAAAGGAACAGCACUGAAAAUGUUUUUCUC
rnacentral:misc_RNA from 1 species